UUAUGGUUUAAUAAUUUUAUUUUAAGUUUAUUUUACAUAUAAAUUUUAGUAUUAAUUUUAAAUUAUUUAAAUAAUAAUUUAUAUUUUUAAGUAGUAAUUAAUAUUAAUUAUUUAAGAAAUUAAGAUUUAGUGAUACUUUAAUUAAUAACAAAUUUUGUGCCAGCAGUUGCGGUUAUACAAAAGUUAAAUUAAAUUUUAUUAGUAAUUAAUAAAUAAUAUGUUAAGUAUAAAAAAAAAUUAAAUUAUUAAGUGAAAUUUUAAUUUAUGAAUUUUUAUAAAAAUUAUGAUUUAAUAAAUUUUAUAAAAAACUAGGAUUAGAUACCCUAUUAUCAAAAUUUAAAGUUAAAAUACUAAAAUAGUAAAUAAUUAUUUAUUGAAACUUAAAUAAUUUGGCGGUAUUUUAGUUCAUUUAGAGGAAUCUGUUUAAUAAUUGAUAAUCCACGAAUAAAUUUACUUAAUUUAUAAUUUUGUAUAUCGUUGUUAAAAAAAUAUUUUUUAAUAAAAUUAAUAUUUUAAAAUUAUAAUAUAAAUUUAAAUCAGAUCAAGAUGCAGAAUAUAAUUAAGAAUAUAAUGGAUUACAAUAAAUUUAUUUAGAUGAAUAUUAAUAUGUAAAAUUAAUUAAAAGUGGAUUUAAAUGUAAUUUUAUUUAGUUUAAUAAAAUGAUUUAUAAUUAAAAUAUGUACAUAUUGCCCGUCGCUUUCAUAUAAUAAUAAGUUGAAAUAAGUCGUAACAAAGUAGAGGUACUGGAAAGUGUUUCUAGAAAGAU
rnacentral:ncRNA from 1 species